AUUGAACGCUGGCGGCAGGCCUAACACACGCAAGUCGAACGGUAGCACAGAGAGCUUGCUCUCGGGUGACGAGUGGCGGACGGGUGAGUAACGUCUGGGAAACUGCCCGAUGGAGGGGGAUAACUACUGGAAACGGUAGCUAAUACCGCAUAACGUCGCAAGACCAAAGUGGGGGACCUUCGGGCCUCACACAAUCGGAUGUGCCCAGAUGGGAUUAGCUAGUAGGUGGGGUAAUGGCUCACCUAGGCGACGAUCCCUAGCUGGGCUGAGAGGAUGACCAGCCACACUGGAACUGAGACACGGUCCAGACUCCUACGGGAGGCAGCAGUGGGGAAUAUUGCACAAUGGGCGCAAGCCUGAUGCAGCCAUGCCGCGUGUAUGAAGAAGGCCUUCGGGUUGUAAAGUACUUUCAGCGGGGAGGAAGGCGGUGAAGUUAAUAACUUCACCGAUUGACGUUACCCGCAGAAGAAGCACCGGCUAACUCCGUGCCAGCAGCCGCAGUAA
rnacentral:rRNA from 1 species